rnacentral:misc_RNA from 1 species
GUAGGUGAACCUGCGGAAGGAUCAUUAACACGUAUCCAACGUAAAACAACCCUGUGAACCUUCAAACGUGAUCUCGUACACGCUCAAGCAGCAAUCCCUGGUAAAUCAUUGAUGACCAGCAAUUGAGUCAGGGACCUCUGCUUGAAAACCAUACGAUAUGGAUCGCCGGAUAAAGCGGCCUGGCAUCCUAGCAAUCUGUCAGUGGUUGCGUAAGGAUGGCGCAGUAAACGAUCGCUGGAGGCCCACACGG